rnacentral:tRNA from 2 species
ACUGAGAAGUCAUCUGUGCAAAUCAGAUCAUCUUGAAACCAAAUAGCUAGCCUAUCAUUUCAAGUUAAACAAACAC